GAGUGGAAUAUUCUGCAGAUGUCUCUAAGGUGGUACCUAUCCUUGGAGGUAUGAUGAAUUUCUUGUAGUCACAUACUAAGCCCUAAGGACUGCCGAGGGACACUUGAGACAAGCUGAGCAGCCUAGAAGAGGCCCAGGCAUGCCAAGCCCCCCGAAAGACGCAGAGACCAGCCAAGCUGGCAUGAAAAAGCAGAAACCAGCUGAGCCUCCUGGAAGGGCUCAGAUCAACUGGGUCUCCUAGAAAAGAUACUCUCCAGCCUGUUGAGCGGCCUGCACAUUGUGUAGUGCACUCCAGAUUUCCAGCUUUUGUGAACUGUCACACGCGCUGUCAUGGACUCAGCUGUUUUGAGUAAUUUCUGCUUCUGUUAAGUA